GUGUUUAAGGAAGACCAAGGGGACCAGCUUGGCUGGGGGAGUGAAGGAGGAGGGAGGAAGCCAGAGAUGGGAUCAGACAGCUAGGAGUGGACAAGUGGUCAAGUGAUGGUGCCAGCCAAUGAGAGGUAAAGUAACCGAGGAAGAGAAUGGUUAAAUGACUUGCCCAACAACAUGCAAGGACUUCCAAGAGACCAGGAUUGCAGGCCGUCUCCUGCUUUCCAGUCCAUCAUUCCUUCUACCACAUCAUGAUGCACCUUCCUAGGCAUGAAUGAGAAAACAUGCCAAUAAUUAUUUCGACAAAGUUGUGACAGCUACCAAUGAAACUCUAUACGUACAUGCAAUACUUCUUCAGCAUUUCCUUUUCCUAUUGGGCAAUCUCAUUCACUCUCAUAGUUGUCAUUACCACUGUGUAAUCAAUGACUUCAAUUAGUAUAGC